rnacentral:rRNA from 1 species
AGUGAACGCUGGCGGUAGGCCUAACACAUGCAAGUCGAACGGCAGCACAGUAAGAGCUUGCUCUUACGGGUGGCGGGUGGCGGACGGGUGAGGAAUACAUCGGAAUCUACUUUUUCGUGGGGGAUAACGUAGGGAAACUUACGCUAAUACCGCAUACGACCUACGGGUGAAAGCAUGGGAUCUUCGGACCUUUCGCGAUUGAAUGAGCCGAUGUCGGAUUAGCUAGUUGGCGGGGUAAAGGCCCACCAAGGCGACGAUCCGUAGCUGGUCUGAGAGGAUGAUCAGCCACACUGGAACUGAGACACGGUCCAGACUCCUACGGGAGGCAGCAGUGGGGAAUAUUGGACAAUGGGCGCAAGCCUGAUCCAGCCAUACCGCGUGGGUGAAGAAGGCCUUCGGGUUGUAAAGCCCUUUUGUUGGGAAAGAAAAGCAGCAGGUUAAUACCCCGCUGUUCUGACGGUACCCAAAGAAUAAGCACCGGCUAACUUCGUG